GAGACAGGUGGUGCAUGGUUGUCGUCAGCUCGUGUCGUGAGAUGUUGGGUUAAGUCCCGCAACGAGCGCAACCCCUGUCGUUAGUUGCCAGCAUUCAGUUGGGGACUCUAACGAGACUGCCAGUGACAAACUGGAGGAAGGUGGGGAUGACGUCAAAUCAUCAUGCCCCUUAUGACCUGGGCUACACACGUGCUACAAUGGUUGGUACAAAGAGAAGCGAAGCGGUGACGUGGAGCAAACCUCAUAAAGCCAAUCUCAGUUCGGAUUGUAGGCUGCAACUCGCCUACAUGAAGUUGGAAUCGCUAGUAAUCGCGAAUCAGCAUGUCGCGGUGAAUACGUUCCCGGGUCUUGUACACACCGCCCGUCACACCACGAGAGUUUACAACACCCGAAGUCAGUGGCCUAACCGCAAGGAGGGAGCUGCCUAAGGUGGGGUAGAUGAUUGGGGUGAAGUCGUAACAAGGUAUCCCUACCGGAAGGUGGGGAUGGAUCACCUCCUUUCUAUGGAGA
rnacentral:rRNA from 1 species